rnacentral:lncRNA from 1 species
CGCUGGUGGCGGCGGAGACGGCGUCGGCGGCCGUGAGCUGCAGCGAGGUGACGUCGGCGGUGUUGCCGUGCCUGGGUUACGCGACGGGCAGCGCGGCGUCCCCGUCGUCGGCGUGCUGCAACGGGGUCAGGUCCCUCAGCGCCAGGGCCUCCUCCACCGCCGACCGCCAGGCGGCCUGCACCUGCCUCAAGAGCAUGACCGGGGGGCUCGGCGGAGGCGGCGCCAGCAUGGGCAACGCCGCCAACAUCCCAAGCAAGUGCGGCGUCAACGUCGGCGUACCCAUCAGCCCCAACGUCGACUGCUCCAAGUAACUACUACUGCUUAAUUA